GCUGUCGAUUCCAACUCUUAGUGACCCCACAGGACAGAGUAGAACUGCCCCUGCAGGGUUUUCUAGGCUGAAAUCUUUACGGGAGCACUGUGCAGAGGUGUAGUAAGGUAUGGUGGGUAGGGCGUGUGCCCUGGAUGCCUCGUGAGGAGGGGCGCUAACGAGCAGUUUCCAUUGGCCAUCACCAGAGAUCAUUCACCAAUUUAAAGCUAAAUGUCACAGGCGCUAUUUCCCACCGACAGAUGGCCACAUCCCCCUUGAGGAGGGGCGCUAACGAGCAGUUUCCAUUAUCAUUCAGCAAUUGAAAACUAAUUGCCAUAGGCGUUACUUUUCGUAGCUAAACUGCCACAUCUUUCUCUCACGGAGUGGCUGGUGGGUUUGAAACGCAGACCUUGAGGUUAGUAGCCGAGCGCUUUAUGAUCUUGGUUCUGUAUCUUUUUUUUUAAACCAGAGGAGUUCAUUCUAGGUUCAGAAAAGCCGGAGUUGGUACUUCCGCCCUCCCUGUUGCAUUUCUUUCUUCUGUUUUCAGGGCUCUCUCGAUGCUAAUCUCUCCCACUAUGAGGAACACGGAUCUAAUCAGUUCCAAUAUCUUCAUGAAUUUGCCUAAUAUAUUUCCAGGAAUAUAUGCAUUUUAAAAGAGGAAUCCGGGAUAAAAAAUGAACCUUAAACAGUAGAGUCAGAUCCUGUGACACGUCAUCUAUUGUGACUAAGAAGAGGUCUCGUUUCCCUGCAUCUUUGUUCUAAAACACGUCACCCAGAGCAAGAGUUUUAAAGCCUCUGCUCUGGUGUUUGUGCAGCUGUUCAGAACUUUCCAAUGUUAUCAGUUAUUUAAAUUUGUUAGCACACAUCAAGGGACAGCUUAGUUUUUCAGUCUUGAAAAUACAAGAAAUACCUAAAGGUUGUUGGUGGUUGUUUGAGAGCGUGCGUUGAAAAAUCAUUUAUGUUGCCCCGUUUUUACUGGUUGCCUCUGAUCAGCCCUGUCUCCUCAGCCUCAUUUCAAAUGAAAGAAAUCAAGUAAACAAGCUUGAGCAAUCAAGGGGCCCUAAAACAGCGGGGGACCUGCAACAGCAAACCCUCGUUGUCCACGUGGCUCCCCCACCUAUUGAGUCAAUGGCAUACUUUGAGUCACGGGGAGAAAAAAACUCAGCGGAGAACCGUCAUCCUACUGGCUACAAUGCAAACAAGAUGGAUGGAGCGGGAGAAACCACAUAGGACCAUGACAUGGAAGCCCAAUUCUGAGGAUGGCAAAGCAAGGAGCUAGAAUCUGGAUUCCUGACAUGACAGACCUCUGUUCCAGCCUUAGUUCUUCAACCUACACUUUUAGGUAAGAGAACAAUCAACUUUCAUGUUUAAGCAACUAUUAUUUGAGCUCUUUUGCCACUUGCAGCCCAAUAUAAUUAAUAGAACAAAACUGGAUCAAUCUAACUGCCUCCUUAUAUCAAUACUGCGGGUUCUAAAGGCUAAUGGUCAAAUCACCUGACUAAGCAGAUCAGUGCCAAUGUAAAGUAUGUUCUCCAACCUCAACUGGGCCCUCAGUGCUGCCUGGUGGUUUCUUCAAUUCUCUCCAGUAGCCAUUCCAAAUUCUUCAUGCUCCUCAAACUUUACACUUCUCCUUCUUCCACUUCCCUUCAAGCAGCUGAUCUCACUUCUUAUUUCAAAUAAAAAAUAUAAGAAACUAUUAGAUAAGAACUUCCCCUCAACUGCCCAUCUCCACAAUUACUCUAUCUACACCCAUUCGUUUUUUUCUCCAGUUACAAUACAAAAAUGUGUCUUCUCCUGUGGAAGGCUAAUUCCUCCCCUGUGUUCUAGAUCCUAUUCCCUCCACCCAACUCAGGGACUCCCCUCUAUACAUUAUCUUCCUUCCCCACUCUACUGGCUCCUUCCUUUCAACUUUUGAACAUCCUUGAGUUGCUCUCAUCUGUGAAACAAAUAAAGUAAAAACACAAACUUUCUUUCAACCCUGCAUCCCCUUCUAGUUCUGUUUCCCUCUCUCCUUCCCACCCUCGCUUCUCUCUUCUUUAUAGCCAAACUACUUGAUUUUUCUGUGCUUCCACUUCCUUAU